AUUGAACGCUGGCGGCAGGCUUAACACAUGCAAGUCGAGCGAGCGGCGGACGGGUGAGUAAUGUCUGGGAAACUGCCUGAUGGAGGGGGAUACCUACUGGAAACGGUAGCUAAUACCGCAUACCAUCAGAUGUGCCCAGAUGGGAUUGGCUAGUAGGUGGGGUAAUGGCUCAACUAGGCGACGAUCCCUAGCUGGUCUGCGAGGAUGAACGGCCAAACUGGAACUGAGACACGGUCCAGACUCCUACGGGAGGCAGCAGUGGGGAAUAUUGGACAAUGGGCGCAAGCCGGAUACAGCCAUGCGGCGUGUGUGAAGAAGGCCUUCGGCUUGUAAAGCACUUUCAGCGAGGAGGCGUUACUCGCAGAAGAAGCACCGGCUAACUCCGUGCCAGCAGCCGCGGUAAUAC
rnacentral:rRNA from 1 species